CCUACGGGGGGCAGCAGUAGGGAAUUUUCGUCAAUGGGCGCAAGCCUGAACGAGCAAUGCCGCGUGAAUGAGGAAGGUCUUCGGAUCGUAAAGUUCUGUUGAAGGGGAAAAAGAGCGGAGAGAGGAAAUGGUCUCCGAUUGAUAUUACCCUUCGAGGAAGUCACGGCUAACUACGUGCCAGCAGCCGCGGUAAUACGUAGGUGGCGAGCGUUAUCCGGAAUGAUUGGGCGUAAAGGGUGCGUAGGCGGCCUGCUAAGUCUGGAGUGAAAGGUACCGGCUCAACCGGUACAGGCUCUGGAAACUGGCGGGCUAAAGAGCAGGAGAGGGCGGUGGAACUCCAAGUGUAGCGGUGAAAUGCGUAGAUAUAUGGAAGGACACCAGUGGCGAAGGCGGCCGCCUGGCCUGUUGACUGACGCUGAGGCACGAAAGCGUGGGGAGCAAAUAGGAUUAGAUACCCCGGUAGUC
rnacentral:rRNA from 1 species